rnacentral:misc_RNA from 1 species
GAUGAAGAACGCAGCAAAAUGCGAUAAGUAAUGUGAAUUGCAGAAUUCAGUGAAUCAUCGAAUCUUUGAACGCACAUUGCGCCCGCCAGUAUUCUUGCGGGCAUGCCUGUUCGAGCGUCAUUUCAACCCUCAAGCACAGCUUGGUGUUGGGACUCGCGUUAAUUCGCGUUCCUCAAAUUGAUUGGCGGUCACGUCGAGCUUCCAUAGCGUAGUAGUAAAACCCUCGUUACUGGUAAUCGUCGCGGCCACGCCGUUAAACCCCAACUUCUGAAUGUUGACCUCGGAUCAGGUAGGAAUACCCGCUGAACUUAAGCAUAUCAAUAAGCGGAGGA